rnacentral:siRNA from 1 species
UGCACUGAAUUUUUAGAUUGAU